CCAAUAGCGUAUAUUAAAGUUGUUGCAGUUAAAAAGCUCGUAGUUGAACUUCGGGGUUUACUCAUUGGUCAGGCUUAAUUGUCUGUACUGGUGAGAUAAAUCUCUACCUUCUGAGGAACUUUCAUGCCAUUUAUUUGGUGUGAUUGGAAAUCAGGACUGUUACUUUGAAAAAAUUAGAGUGUUUAAAGCAGGCUAACGUCUGAAUACAUUAGCAUGGAAUAAUGAAAUAGGACGGAUUGAUUCUAUUUCGUUGGUUUCUAGGGUCACCGUAAUGAUUAAUAGGGAUAGUUGGGGGCAUUAGUAUUCAAUUGUCAGAGGUGAAAUUCUUGGAUUUAUUGAAGACUAACUACUGCGAAAGCAUUUGCCAAGGAUGUUUUCAUUAAUCAAGAACGAAAGUUAGGGGAUCGAAGACGAUCAGAUACCGUCGUAGUCUUAACCAUAAACUAUGCCGACUAGGGAUCGGACGCAGUUAAUUUUAUAAUGACGUGUUCGGCACCUUACG
rnacentral:rRNA from 1 species